rnacentral:rRNA from 1 species
CUCAGAUUGAACGCUGGCGGCAGGCCUAACACAUGCAAGUCGAACGGUAACAUUUCUAGCUUGCUAGAAGAUGACGAGUGGCGGACGGGUGAGUAAUACUUAGGAAUAUGCCUUUGUGUGGGGGAUAACCAUUGGAAACGAUGGCUAAUACCGCAUAACGUCUUCGGACCAAAGGGGGCCUUGGCUCCCGCGCAAAGAGUAGCCUAAGCGAGAUUAGCUUGUUGGUGAGGUAAAGGCUCACCAAGGCGACGAUCUCUAGCUGUUCUGAGAGGAAGAUCAGCCACACUGGAACUGAGACACGGUCCAGACUCCUACGGGAGGCAGCAGUGGGGAAUAUUGCACAAUGGGGGAAACCCUGAUGCAGCCAUGCCGCGUGUGUGAAGAAGGCCUUCGGGUUGUAAAGCACUUUCAGUUGUGAGGAAAGGUUAACGGUUAAUACCCGUUAGCUGUGACGUUAGCAACAGAAGAAGGACCGGCUAACUCCGUGCCAGCAGCCGCGGUAAUACGGAGGGUCCGAGCGUUAAUCGGAAUUACUGGGCGUAAAGCGCACGCAGGCGGUUUGUUAAGCUAGAUGUGAAAGCCCCGGGCUCAACCUGGGACGGUCAUUUAGAACUGGCAGACUAGAGUCUUGGAGAGGGGAGUGGAAUUCCAGGUGUAGCGGUGAAAUGCGUAGAUAUCUGGAGGAACAUCAGUGGCGAAGGCGACUCCCUGGCCAAAGACUGACGCUCAUGUGCGAAAGUGUGGGUAGCGAACAGGAUUAGAUACCCUGGUAGUCCACGCCGUAAACGAUGUCUACUAGCCGUUGGGAGACUUGAUCUCUUAGUGGCGCAGUUAACGCGAUAAGUAGACCGCCUGGGGAGUACGGCCGCAAGGUUAAAACUCAAAUGAAUUGACGGGGGCCCGCACAAGCGGUGGAGCAUGUGGUUUAA